CCUACGGGGGGCAGCAGUGGGGGAUAUUGCACAAUGGGGGGAACCCUGAUGCAGCGACGCCGCGUGGGUGAAGGAGUGCUUCGGCAGGUAAAGCCCUAUCGGCAGGGAAGAAGCAAGACGGUACCUGACUAAGAAGCCCCGGCUAACUACGUGCCAGCAGCCGCGGUAAUACGUAGGGGGCGAGCGUUAUCCGGAUUCACUGGGUGUAAAGGGAGCGUAGACGGCCAUGCAAGCCAGGGGUGAAAGCCCGGGGACCAACCCCGGGACUGCCCUUGGAACUGCAUGGCUGGAGUGCGGGAGGGGCAGGCGGAAUUCCUGGUGUAGCGGUGAAAUGCGUAGAUAUCAGGAGGAACACCGGCGGCGAAGGCGGCCUGCUGGACCGCGACUGACGUUGAGGCUCGAAAGCGUGGGGAGCGAACAGGAUUAGAUACCCCGGUAGUC
rnacentral:rRNA from 1 species